rnacentral:misc_RNA from 1 species
UUGCUUCCAGUGUUUACUUAGCCAGCCGGGUGCUGGCUUUUUUUUUGCUUUUUUUCCGCUAAUCAC